AACAAACGCUGGCGGCGUGCCUAAUACAUGCAAGUCGAACGGGGAAAGCUUUCGGGUGAGUACUAGUGGCACACGGGUGAGUAACGCGUGGAUAAUCUGCCUUAGAGUGGGGGAUAACUAGUCGAAAGAUUAGCUAAUACCGCAUAAGACCACAAGAACUGCGGUUCAAGGGGUCAAAGGUUUUUCGCUCUAAGAUGAGUCCGCGUAAGAGUAGCUAGUUGGUAGGGUAACGGCCUACCAAGGCGACGAUCUUUAACUGGUCUGAGAGGAUGAUCAGUCACACUGGAACUGAGACACGGGCCAGACUCCUACGGGAGGCAGCAGUAGGGAAUAUUGCACAAUGGAGGAAACUCUGAUGCAGCGACGCCGCGUGAGUGAUGAAGGCCUUCGGGUCGUAAAGCUCUGUCGCAGGGGAAUAACACAAUGAAGGUACCCUGUAAGAAAGGAUCGGCUAACUUCGUGCCAGCCGCCGCGGUAACAC
rnacentral:rRNA from 1 species